UGUUCUUCCGAAAAGACUUGUGAUGGGCGAUGUUCUUCGUGGUCCGGUGGUGGUCACUCCCGCUCCUUUGGCAAGAAUCCAGAAGACCGGACAGCAGCAACAGCUCAAGGGAUUGUUUGAUCGGUUGGAGCAAAUUGCCAGUGAAAGCAGCAGUUUGACGAGACUGGUGGAUGCUUUGGACCCGGAUAAUCUACCAUCUCAUCCGGGUCCAUAUGCUCGAGCUCUCCAGGCAUGUGGGAACGCAAACGCUCUGGUCGAAGGGAGGAAAGUUCAUGGUUUCGCAGUUCAGGCAGGUCUCCAAGAGAACCUCAUCUUGGGGAACCACAUCGUGCGAAUGUAUGGGCGGUGUGGAAGUUUGGAAGAAGCAAGUCGGGCUUUUGCAGCUAUGCCGCAGCACAACUCGGUGUCUUGGAACGCUCUCAUCUCAGCUUAUGCCCAAGCCGGGCGUAUGCACUCGAGGUACUGUCUCCGGCUCUUUUGGAGGAUGCAGCAGGAGGGCGCCAAAGUUGACAGGAUCACGUUCAUCGUAGUUUUGGGAGUUUUAAGUGGCUCUCACGAACUUUCGGAAGGGAAGAAGAUCCAUUCAUGCAUACGGGAGUUUGGCAUCGAGUCGGACACUUUCGUGGCAACGGCUUUAGUGACCAUGUACAGCAAGUGCCACUGUCCGUGGAGUGCCCGGCAAAUGUUUGACGCGAUGAGUCCCCGGAGUACAGUGUCCUGGACUGCGAUGGUUACCGCCUAUUCUCAACACGGGCAUAACAGGGAAGCCAUGGAGAUCUUUCACUCCAUGCAACAGGAGGGAGUCCGAAGUGAUAGCGUGACUUACGUUGCCACCCUCACCGCGUGUGAUGAUCUCAGGGCCGGGGACGCGAUUCACUCGUGCCUUGUUGAAGCCGGGUUUGAAAACGAGCUUCAGGUUGGGAAUGCGCUAGUCAACAUGUACGCAAAGUGUGGAAGGUUGGACAAGGCCAGGGAGGUUUUCAGCAGGAUGCAACACAGGAAUGUGGUCAGCUGGACUGUGAUAAUCACUGGUUACUCUCAGCAUGGACAAGACGUUGAGGCGCUGAAGCUGUUUCUGAGGAUGCAACUGGAAGGCGUGAGGGCUGACUUCGUGACACUUCUCUGCAUGCUGGAAGUUUGCGGGAACACGAGCUCGCUGGCCGAGGGGAGGAUGGUUCAUGCUUGCAGCGCCGAGACUGGUGCUGCGUUGCAGAGCUCGUUUGGAAACGCCAUCGUGAGCAUGUAUGGGAAGUGUGGAAGCUUUCAAGACGCGCAACGAGUGUUUGACAGCCUCGACCACCAGGACUCCAUCUCGUGGACCGCGCUAAUCAAUGCCUAUGCGCAACACGGGGACAGCAGUAUGGCCGUGGACCUAUUCAGGAAGAUGAAACAAGCUGGUGUGGAUCCCGACGAAGUCACCUACGUCAGUGUUCUCUGGGCUUGCAGCCAUGCGGGGCUCUUGGCCGAUGGGUGUGAGAACUUUUACGCGAUGCUCGUGGACGACGAGCUGGUUCCCGGGUUGGAGCACUGUGGCUGUGUGGUCGGGCUGCUAGGACGUGCUGGAUGGUUGAGGGAGGCAGAAAACUUUCUCAGGAGCAUGGACAGUGAUCGGGGAUUGUGGGUUGCUCUGCUGGGAGCUUGCAGCGUUCACGGAGACGUCGAGUGUGGCAAGCGUGCAGCUGAACGGUUGCUGGAGCUGGAUCCAAACGACUGCUCGGGUUACGUAGUUUUGUCCAACAUGAUCCAUUCGGCAGGCGAUGAGGAGGAGGACAAUGAGGUUCGUUUUGUUGCUCCUCCGUUAUAGAAUUUCUUGUUUCUCAUCGAUGGACGUGCUUUAUAAUUCAGGCUUGACCAGACAAAAGCGAUUGCUAUUUUGUAGUGAGGUUGAUCAGCUCAAAGCGUUGAUUAUUUAAUGAUCAUUCGGAAUUUGUUGACGCGGACAAAAAGACAGGACGAGCUCCAAAAAUUGAUAAAGUUGAAUUCUUCGAGAAACAUAUGGGAAUCGCAUAUACGCCAGCCAAAGGUGGUGCAGUUAGUGCAGCGUGGUAGUUGUCUUCUUAAAUGCUACCUGACACGUUUCCAUUCAAUUCCCGCAGUGGCAAGCGAUUAAACACCAAGUUUUACUCUGCAACAAGAACACAGUUUCAGGA